UUCCCCAUUUUUCGGAUCUGGAGAGAGGUGAUGGGCUGAUGGCUGCGGCGCUCAGGGGAGCAGCUGAUUGGCCACGAUGGCGGCUUGGUGGAGCCGCUCAGCGACGGUAGCAGCGGCAGCCCCGGCUAAGAGCGGUGGCGGCCCUGGCUAGAAACGUCAAGGCGGUGGCCCUGGUUCGAAGGAGCAGCUCAGCGGCGGAGGCGGCCGCCAACUUAGUGGCUCGAGCCGGAGGCGAGUGGCGUCGAUGAAAGCCGGCUCCACGAUGACGGGUGACCGCUGUUCUCCGCCCACGGUCUCCACCGGCAUCCCUUCAGACGCCACCACCCUCCCCCCCCCAACCCUUGCCGACCUGCUCCACCCAAGCCACCGUGACGCCGCUCCACCGGCUUCACUGGCGUUCGGCUCUCCACCGCCGGCCCCGUCACUCUGCGACCCCCUCGCCAUCUUCGACACGGUGGCCGCCUCCCGCUCCUUAGGAUCCCCGAGUCACCACCGCCCUUGAUGUCCGCCUUGGCCAUGGACCAUUGAGGAGGACUGAAUUCUGCAUUGGUCAUUUGACUUUGUUUUAAUCUUUCACAUGCUCGUUGUUUUUCAGGGAUGAAUACAGUGGAUCAUUGUGGUAGGCCUGCUCCUAGAUUGUUGUCUUCAUGAUGCAUUCAACACCUCGUUCCUUGCUCUGAUCUUAAUUUUAACUUUAGUACUGAAUUCGUCUAUGCAACCUUCAGGAAAUUGGAACAAGACCAGGUGAGCUUUUGUGUACCAUUAUGAGAUUGAGGCCCUAAUGAUUGCGAGUGGUGGUGGUCAUAUACAAUUUCUUUUUUGGAUUGCUACUUAUAGUCCUGCGGCCUGGAUGUUGUUUUUGCGAUGCAUUAAUCACCUAAUUUUCAUACUCAUAUGAAUUUUUAUGUGGCCAGACAUGAAUUUGUGUGUGCAGUAUUGUUAGAAAUCUGCUCACAUCUGAAUUUUCAUUUGUUCAGUUAUCAGGAGUUGGCGCCCUUGCUGUAGAACAACACCUGCAACAUGCACAUACUCUGUUGUUUCUCCGCAUCGGCUGUUUUUUGCCAAUGAGGCGGGGAUGGCAACCUCCACAUCUGCCGCUGCCUGACUACCUAACUGCUAUAUCUGCAUGUUUUUUUUUUGGAAUACUUGGAUAAUUAACUAGUGAAUGCUCUGAAUUUUACUUGACGCGAGAACUUGCGUUGGAGGCAUAGCUUGAUGGCACUGCGGUUCACAAUGCUUUGCUUUAAAUGUUCAUGUUCUGAACUUUUUGGGUUGAGCAGAUUAGGUAGAGUGGAUUGCUCCAAAUAUGUUAGCUGAAUUUUGUUC